CCAGACUCCUACGGGAGGCAGCAGUGGGGAAUAUUGCACAAUGGGCGCAAGCCUGAUGCAGCCAUGCCGCGUGUAUGAAGAAGGCCUUCGGGUUGUAAAGUACUUUCAGUCGGGAGGAAGGUGUCAAGGUUAAUAACCUUGGCAAUUGACAUUACCGACAGAAGAAGCACCGGCUAACUCCGUGCCAGCAGCCGCGGUAAUACGGAGGGUGCAAGCGUUAAUCGGAAUUACUGGGCGUAAAGCGCACGCAGGCGGUCUGUCAAGUCGGAUGUGAAAUCCCCGGGCUCAACCUGGGAACUGCAUUCGAAACUGGCAGGCUGGAGUCUUGUAGAGGGGGGUAGAAUUCCAGGUGUAGCGGUGAAAUGCGUAGAGAUCUGGAGGAAUACCGGUGGCGAAGGCGGCCCCCUGGACAAAGACUGACGCUCAGGUGCGAAAGCGUGGGGAGCAAACAGGAUUAGAUACCCUUGUAUGA
rnacentral:rRNA from 1 species